UGGAGGAUUUCUUCAUGGGCUUUCCUUAUCUCUGUGUCCAGCUGCUCCAGCUGGGCCAGAAGAGAGGACUCCUCCUUGUCCAGGAACUCAUGUAAUUUCCUAUAUGUCCUCACAAUCUCCUGCUUUGCAGCUUCUGUCCUCUCCUGCCAAGGGCAAGCAGAAGUAAAGAAAUGGCAGCAGAGAGCAGAAGAGCAUCAAGGGUCAAGGGUGGGCCAUGCCUUAGUGGGAGCCACCAAGAAGAGGCAUUUGGGGAAGAUACAAACCCCCCCUCCCUUCCCCACAGCCCUUGAGCAUCACCCACCCCUGCGGGAGAGGAGGAGGAGGAGGAGAUGUUCCUCCUUUCUUCCCCCACUCUCUGCCCAGGAAAACUGAUGGGCACCUACAGUGUGGUCCUUGAGUCUGUCUUCUCUGUCCUUCAUGGAAGAUUGAAGCGCCUCUUGCUCUGAUUUCAAAAUGUAAAGUUGGAUCUGAAUUUGUUUCUGAGAGGAAAGAAAGAAAGAAAGAAAGAAGUCCCCUGUGGAAUGGCAUCGUGGUCUGGCAACCUCAGCAGAAGCACCGGGGAACUCUUGGUGGCUCUUGGGCAGAGCUGACUUUGAUAAGGGACCCCCACCCCUAGAGGACAGAGCCAUUGAUGGAGUUUUGCAGAGGGAUUCUGGUGGGGAGAAAACCUACGCCUCUGUUUCCUACCCUCCCCUAAGCCGUUGCUCGUGGCUGAACCCUGGGGGAGAGGACCCCUUGGUCCCCAAGAUCGUGCUGCUCCUACGUGCACAUCUUCCUCAGGGCAGGCAAUGCCACCUCAUGAGCACCAACACCAGGAGCUUCUGGACCUUUGUGCCUCAACACACCCAUAACCCCCUCACCUUGUACUGCUGGGCAGCCUCGUCCAUGGGAACCACAAAAUGGUUACGGUGCACCUCGGACCUGUCGCACACCACGCAGAUAAGCCUUUUGUCAUCUUGGCAGAAGAGCUUCAAGGGUUCCUGAUGUUUCUCGCACAAGUUCUCCCCUCCUUCCACCUCUCUGUCUCGUUGAAGAGUCAA